rnacentral:rRNA from 1 species
UACGUAGGGUGCGAGCGUUAAUCGGAAUUACUGGGCGUAAAGCGUGCGCAGGCGGUUAUGUAAGACAGAUGUGGAAUCCCCGGGCUCAACCUGGGAACUGCAUUUGUGACUGCAUGGCUAGAGUACGGUAGAGGGGGAUGGAAUUCCGCGUGUAGCAGUGAAAUGCGUAGAUAUGCGGAGGAACACCGAUGGCGAAGGCAAUCCCCUGGACCUGUACUGACGCUCAUGCACGAAAGCGUGGGGAGCAAACAGG